rnacentral:rRNA from 1 species
GACGAACGCUGGCGGCGUGCUUAACACAUGCAAGUCGAACGGAAAGGCCCUGCUUUUGUGGGGUGCUCGAGUGGCGAACGGGUGAGUAACACGUGAGUAACCUGCCCUUGACUUUGGGAUAACUUCAGGAAACUGGGGCUACUACCGGAUAGGAGCUCCUGCUGCAUGGUGGGGGUUGGAACGUUUCGGCGGUUGGGGAUGGACUCGCGGCUUAUCAGCUUGUUGGUGGGGUAGUGGCUUACCAAGGCUUUGACGGGUAGCCGGCCUGAGAGGGUGACCGGCCACAUUGGGACUGAGAUACGCCCCAGACUCCUACGGGAGGCAGCAGGGGGGAAUAUGGCACAAUGGGCGGAAGCCUGAUGCAGCAACGCCGCGUGCGGGAUGACGGCCUUCGGGUUGUAAACCGCUUUCGCCUGUGACGAAGCGUGAGUGACGGUAAUGGGUAAAGAAGCACCGGCUAACUACGUG